AUGAACGUUGGCGGCGUGGAUUAGGCAUGCAAGUCGCGCGAUAACUGUAGCAAUACGGGGAAAGCGGCGAAAGGGAGAGUAAUACGUGGAUACUUGCCCCCGGGACUGGGAUAGCCACGGGAAACUGUGGGUAAUACCAGAUAACAUCUCUGGAUCAAAGGUGUGAUUCCGCCUGGGGAGAGGUCCGCGGCCUAUCAGCUUGUUGGCGGGGUAACGGCCCACCAAGGCUACGACGGGUACGAGGCGUGAGGGCGUGUCCUCGCUCACUGGGACUGAGACACUGCCCAGACACCUACGGGUGGCUGCAGUCGAGAAUCUUCGGCAAUGGGCGCAAGCCUGACCGAGCGACGCCGCGUGCGGGAUGAAGGCCUUCGGGUUGUAAACCGCUGUCAGUGGGGAACAAUGGCAUGGGGGUUCUCCCCUGUGUUUGAGUGAUCCGCAGAGGAAGCGCAGGCUAAGUUCGU
rnacentral:rRNA from 1 species